rnacentral:rRNA from 1 species
UACGGGGGGGGGCAAGCGUUGUUCGGAAUUACUGGGCGUAAAGGGCCAGUAGGCGGCCAACUAAGUCGGACGUGAAAUCCCCAGGCUCAACCUGGGAACUGCGUCCGAUACUGGAUGGCUUGAAUUCGGGAGAGGGAUGCAGAAUUCCAGGUGUAGCGGUGAAAUGCGUAGAUAUCUGGAGGAACACCGGUGGCGAAGGCGGGUCUCUGGGCCGAUACUGACGCUGAGGAGCGAAAGCGUGGGGAGCGAACAGG